CCCCCUCACCUGAUGUUUGUUGAGGUCAACAAGCAUUCAAGUGCUCGCUACAUGCCCAGCACCAGAGAUACAAAUACAGGCAAAAAGACAUCCCCUGACCUCCAGGAGCUUACACUCUCAUGCGGAAAGACUGCAUAAAAAAGGGCUGAAAGGCCACAGGAGCAGGAGCCGUUGAUGGGAUGACACAGGCCUCCAUUCCUACAGGGACACACCAGCUCACAGCCCAAGCCGAAUCGAUCCCUGGGGCAGCCUGAGGGGGGACCUCAAGUUCAUCAGUGAUGAGUCAAGCAAAAAAGUUCCCAACCUCAGGGAACUUUAUAAGGGGUGGAGAGCACGUGGAAACAGGGUUUGGUGAGCCAGAUGAGGAAAACGAGGCUGAGCACUUCAGUGAUUUCACCCACAGAUGAGUGGGGCCCGUGAUCCCAGCUCAUCUGACUCUUGGCCAGCACAUUCAUCCCCACAGCUGGGUAUGACCCUGAUCCUUCAUGCUUGCCAAAAUUCACAAAUAAAGUUUAUAAAGCCUUCUGUUUUAGCAAAAGCUAGAGCUCAGCUGGGGUGAAGGUGGGGGGGGGAGGUCUCAGCUUCUGGGUAUGGUAAAUCCUGCACACAAUGGGAGGAUCGAAUGAGCUACUGGGUGGGAAAGCAAGUGGGGCCUCUAAUAUGGGACACACAUGUGAAGGACGGUUAUCAUCAUCAUUCCACAUCAACUGGGUGUGCGCUGAAACCAUCGGAGAAGGAUUUGGAAGUCUAUUUGGGGCAUGGGAGUGUUAAAAGGAGGGGAGAGCCAGAGGCAUGAUAUUCUAAUAACUGUCCCCAUGUGUUUAUUAGCUCUGCUAAGAAGGUCUGCAGCAUCCUAGGAGGGAUUUAAUUACAAAAUCAGAUUGAACAGCUCAAAUCUCAUUAUCACAGAGAACAUGUGGAGAGAAGGCCCGGCCCAGCCCUGCCACUGUUUGACCUUGGUCAACUCUUGUCAGUCUGGGUUAGUCAUUUUCCUCCUCUACAAAAUGGGGACAAUAUCGAUCCUCCCUUUCUUACCUAGGAUUUGGGUAACUUUUUGAAAGAGGGGCUUCCUAUCUUCUAUUCUAGGAAUGAGUAUGAAGAUAAAAGUAUUGGACAAAGCUAAAGAAAGCAAAAUAAUUACAAACUAUUAAGAAAGUUAGGAAGAUC